rnacentral:lncRNA from 1 species
CUCCUCAUCUACCCUUCCAUGCCUCAGUCUAGGAAACGUCGUGGUAAAUCUCAGAGUUUAAGCAACCUGGAUGCAGAAUGCCAGCUUGGAUAGACACACUACCACAUGCACAUCAUUCUGGCUGGAUCUUAGGGGCAGAAGCCAGUUGGCAGCACAGUUUCCAGCCAAUUCCAAACUGCAAAACUUCCAGCUGAGCUCAUCCUUGCCUUCAGAUGGUAUGGAGCUUGUCGCCCUAUUGGCCUAAAGUCAGACCCUUCUCAGAACAUAGGCAGACCUGAGCAAGUCUAUAGUUUAUAUAGCUGAAGUUUAUAGCUCCCUCCCUCCAGCUGUCUGAGUUGAAAUUCCAGACUUGCUCAUCCCAGCCUCUAGGACCCGAGACUUUCCAAUCAGGGUUGACAAGAUCCAAAAUGGUGGUUUUCUGGCCGUUAGCUCUUUGAAGACUUUUCUCUGCCGGUACCCCCACCCUCUAAAAUCUCUACCCUCUACUUGCCCUAAACUCAAAAUGAGAAGCUGUCAGGCACCUGUGUUUAUAAAUAGGUGGCCACAUGACUGGGGAAGUCCUUAGCAAGAGGAAAUUUUGCAGCGUGACCUAGUGGAAAGAGCAUGAGUCUGGGAGUCAAAGGAUCUGGAUUCUAAUCCCAAUUCUGCCUUUUCCCUCUUGUGUAAGCUUGGGCACAUUACAUAACUUCUCUGUGCCUCAGUUUCCUCAGCUGUAAAAUAGAGAUUCAAUACAUUUUCUCUCUCCUACGUAGACUGUGAUCCCCAUGUAGGAUAGAGACUGUGAUUGACCAGAUGAUGUCCCUACCCCAGAACUUAGUGCAGUGCUUGGCCCACAAUAAGCACUUAACAAAUGCCACAGUUAUUAUUAAAUGUUGCUUGAUAAAGUGGAUUCGUCCUGGCAGCUACUGAUCUUUAGUUCAUUUGAUCUCCCCCUUGCAAAUGGUUAUUGGCAGUUGAAACUGAAAAUCUUGAGUUAGUUCCCUUUUGCAAAUUUCAUUUACAUUUAAAUUGUGCAUUCUUCAAAAGGAUAGGGUUGGUAAAUAACUGAAGAUUAAACUUUAGUAGUUGAAAUUUUGUCUGGUAUCCAACCUGCAAUGGAAGUGACAUCUGGCUUUUACUAUUUUGUAGUUAAUUAGGUUUAAUACUGCCAUGUGUCAUUAAGGGGAGUACAUUUCUUUUAUCUGCAUUUUAAUGAAAGAAAGAAGCUCUCAAGAUUUGGAUACCUUAUCAUGUUGAAUGUCUGGUAGAUUGGCAAUUGAAAUAUUGCUUCCCUUUGGAAAUGGGAAUAAAACAUCUUGCAACCUCUAGAAAAGAAACAACGACAACCAAAAAAGCCCUAAGCCAUGUCAAAUCAGCGAAAGCAAAGUGGAAGGUUGUGCAAUUAAGCAAGAAGUAUAGGCAA